GCUGGGCUUGGUGGCGUGUGCCUAUAGUCCUAUCUACUUGGGAGGCUGAGGUGGGAGGAUCACUUGAGCCCAGGAAGUUGAGGCUGCAGCGAGCUGUGGUUUUGCCACUGCACUCCAGCCUGGGCAACAUAGUGAGACCCUGUCUCAA
ensembl:misc_RNA Metazoa_SRP Metazoan signal recognition particle RNA